CUCCUCUGUGGAGCCCUUCCUGCAAACCUAGAUCUUUGGAUACAGAAGUUCAGAAGUGUAUGGGAGCUAUUGAAUCACCACCUGAAUCUCUGAUUGAUCAGCUGAGACAACAUAUAAGGAUUGACAACCACUGAGGAAGGAUUUCUCUGGAGAUUGCUCUUCUUGGAGUCUUUUUCUGCGAGCCCAGGAUGUGGCAGGUUGAGUCUCAGCAUCUUAGUGAAAUUUCAGACUGGAAAUUGAAGCUAAUUAUACAUGGUUUUGUUUUGUUUUAUUCCUGUAGAACCUACAUUUAAUAUACUUUAUCAAAAUUCCUUUUUAUUGCCCCUUAAGAUAUAAUAUUUAUGAAUUAAUGUGCUUUAAGAUAAAACUAAUAGGAUUUAGCCUUUGGAUUUUAUAUUCCAUUGUUAUUUAAAUUCAUUCUUACUGAAUUUUUUGAAGAUCUGUCUCUUCACUGUGCCAUUUGUUGCAAUUGUAUUACCAUUAAUCUUUGAAAUUUAAUUCAUAUUUUACUUGUCUUUCUGGGUAGGUAGUAUUUGACUAUUUUCCAGUAUGUGUACACCUAAAUAGUUUAAGUAGGUUUUCUCAUCAAUUUUCAGCUUUCAUUAUAUUUCAUGGUAUCAACAGAUUUAGAAGUUCUAAUAGAUUAUUUCUGGUGCAAUAUGUCUUAAAAAUGAGAAAUUAUUGGUAACUUGAAGUCUGUUUGUAUUUAUCAGGGUAUACAAAGAUUUUUAGGCAGACUAUUACAAAUACAUGGUUUUAAAAUUUACCAACCAGAUAAAAAAAAAAAAGAUGUAAAUAGUUACUGAGUUAUUUUUCACUGAAUUUAUCUUAAAAGUUUAUGGAUAUGCUCCAAGUAUUUGAAGAAAUUUCUCUGUUAAUAUAAUUUCACAAUAAGCAAUAAAUUAAGUGUUGUCAUAAACCAACCAGGACCACAACAUGAAUAUGGAGGAAAAAUGAUUUGACUGAAAUAUUUCAAGUUUGUGUUUUUAUGUAGAAUACUUCCAUUAGAGGAUAAUACUAAAGUAUUUGGUAAUGGACUUGUACACAAAGUCACCUUAUCUUAGCCAAAGCUCAAAAUGAUUCUGAAAGCGGAGAUUUGAAUGACAAAACUCCUCCUCCUAAUCACUAUUGUACAUAAAAAGCAAAUAAAUAAAUGAGAAAAAAAAAACACAACAACAAAUAAACAGGGGCUGAAGGGAGUACUCUGACCUCAGUCUGGAUGAAGUUAUCCCAAAAUAAACCAGAGAGUUAAAAUGCCACAUAUGCAAGUGAUAUCCACACAUUUAAGUCAUAGCUGUCACUUCGCUAAUGUCAGUGAUUCUUGGCCAGGCAUAAAUCUUUUUAAAAAGGUUAUUGGAGGUCAUUUUUCCUUCUCAUCAGAACUUUUUUUUUAGCAUCACAUCCACUCAGUGGACAAGGCAAUUCAAUCUCCUUAGGCUCAGCUGAUGCUUUACAGCCCCUCGUUAGUAAGGAAUCCUAAUUGCCAAUUCUAUCCCAUCUCUCCCAAAUCCUGAUGAAGUCUGUAUGUAUGAAGUCUCAUGGGUGUAAGCUGUCUCUAUAUUCCAGUACCUCUUAUGGUAAGUCACAGCUUUUGGGUGAAAUUAACUCUAGUAGUAUCAAUCUUCAUGCCAAACUCUUCUUCAUUAGGAGCUAGAAAGUGUACCUUUUCCCUUCUUCAGGCAUACAUGGUUUCAUAAUCUUAUAAUUGCAUUUCUGAAAGUGUAUGUUUUUAUGUCCAUUUGGAAUAAGAAUUUACCCCUUUUUCUAUUGUUUCCGUACAUCACUUUGAAUGCAGAAUCAAUUGGGAAGAGUUUCCAUUAAUAUAGAGAUAUUAUUUGAUUAAAAAGAAUGUUUUAGGUUUUAUGUUACUAAAAUGAAGGGAUUUUAGUGCAUAACAGCUGAAGAUAUAAUGAGCAUUUUGGGGUACAAAGAAAUAUGUGACUGGAAUUAUUAGUGUGAGUUGUACAAAGGAAAUAUGUUAAAUGAAUAAUUCUAAAACUGUUCCCACAUAGGUCAAGAGUGAUUCCACAUUUGCGAUUUCUGAUAUGAGUUUUGUAUUUGAUUUUGUGUUAUGUUAGCUGGCAUUAAGACAGUGGUUUCUUUGUACUCAAGUUGGAUAAAAAGUUCAAAGAUGUCUUUAAUAUGAGAACACUCUCUGUGUAAUGGAAUAAGAAACAAGAUUCUAAA